UUGUGGGUUUUACUUUAAACAAAAAGCAAAUUUCUUAAUUAUUUUUCAUUAAAAAAGAAAAUUAGUGAUUUUAAUUAACAAUUACUUGAGCAACGAGUACAACAAAAUUUUGAAAAUUAAAGAGAGUGAUUUAAGAGGAGUGUUGGUGGUUAAUUGUUUACUGCACAUUGUGAUUAUUUUCAUAGAAAAUUUUGCAGCGUUUUUUCUAAAAGCACCAAAUAUCUUCUGAAUAUUUAAGAUUUUCACCAAACAUUUGCAUCAACAUUUGGAAAACUAAACAAAAUUAGCUGAAAAUUGAAUUUAUUAUUAUAAAAAAGUAAGUUUAUCACAAAUUUCCUUCAUCUAUUCUUGUAAGUAAAAUAAUUUAUACGUAUUCUAACUUGUACACUUAACCAAUUAAUUCCCUGCUUCCUCGCAUGAUGUGCACAAUUAUCCUUGUUAUUGUGCAAAUGUUAAAGGAAUAUUUAUAGAAUGUUCUUCAAAUCCAUUAACGUUAAAUACUUUACAUUAUAUUUAUUAUU